AAAAAAAAAACAACUAUAAACAGCCAAGGAUGGUAAUGGCCUAUACUAGCAGCUGACAUGAAGGCAGACCUAUUUUUGAGAAAAGGAGGAGGCGGCUGAUAAACCCAAGACAUAUUUGGGCAUUCCCCGAGGCCAACUGCCCAUCCCUUGAGAGGACUGCGGAGAUACAGCAGUAUGUGAAUAGGCUUCUGCAAGGAGGCCAGCUUUCUCCAAUAGCAGGUAGAGCUGUGCCACAGCAGGAUGCAGACAGAGGCCGUGCCUGUGUGCAGGAGGACAGGACAAUGCCUAUUCUGGGUUGUUUGGCUCCUCUGCAGCUGCAAGUUCAGAAGUUAAUGUGCGUUAUCUGUGGAUGGGGAAAACCACUAAGUGGAGAACAAUCUUUAAUAAUGAAAGUGCAGAAGAGAGACCAGCAGUGGUGUUUUUAAGACUUUCGACUUUCCCAUGAUGUUGAGAAUCCAUCCCCUCCAUGUUUUGUGCUUUAUGUUUUGUACCAUCACUUUGCCUCUCACCUAAAAACUGCACCUGUUGUGUUCUUUGUUCAUUCUGCUCUGAUAUCAGCCAAAAUUGUGACUUGUGGCCUCUUGUCAGCUGUGGUUAGUGUUUCCUAAAAGUGCACUAGCCCAAACUGUUUUCUGCAUUAUUUCACCACAGUGAGAUGAAACAAUUAACGGGUUGCAAAUGUGACAACACUACCACACAAGUGCUCUGCUUUGGGAAUUCAUCUCCUGCCUUAACUCAGUGCAGGGAAAGAUGUGUCUUCACUGCCUACAUCUGUACAAAGAUGCCUAAUUGA